GAUGAAGAACGCAGCGAAAUGCGAUAAGUAAUGUGAAUUGCAGAAUUCAGUGAAUCAUCGAAUCUUUGAACGCACAUUGCGCCCGCCAGUAUUCUGGCGGGCAUGCCUGUUCGAGCGUCAUUACAACCCUCAGGCCCCCGGGCCUGGCGUUGGGGAUCGGCGGAGCCCCCCGUGGGCACACGCCGUCCCCCAAAUGCAGUGGCGGUCCCGCCGCAGCUUCCAUCGCGUAGUAGCUAACACCUCGCGACUGGAGAGCGGCGCGGCCACCCCGUAAAACACCCAACUCUUCUGAAGUUGACCUCGAAUCAGGUAGGAAUACCCGCUGAACUUAAGCAUAUCAAUAAGCGGAGGA
rnacentral:misc_RNA from 1 species